rnacentral:rRNA from 1 species
AGCAGCCGCGGUAAUUCCAGCUCCAAUAGCGUAUAUUAAAGUUGUUGCAGUUAAAAAGCACGUAGUUGAAUUUCGGGAUUGACACAUCGGUCGUGCCUUAAGGGGUAUGAACUGGUGUAGUCAAUUUCUCACCUUCUGGAGAACCGCAAUGCCCUUAAUUGGGUGUCGCGGGGAACCAGGACCUUUACUUUGAAAAAAUUAGAGUGUUUAAAGCAGGCAUUUUGCUUGAAUACAUUAGCAUGGAAUAAUAAAAUAGGACGGCAUGAUUCUAUUUUGUUGGUUUCUAGGAUCACCGUAAUGAUUAAUAGGGAUAGUUGGGGGCAUUAGUAUUCAAUUGUCAGAGGUGAAAUUCUUGGAUUUAUUGAAGACUAACUACUGCGAAAGCAUUUGCCAAGGAUGUUUUCAUUAAUCAAGAACGAAAGUUAGGGGAUCGAAGACGAUCAGAUACCGUCGUAGUCUUAACCAUAAACUAUGCCGACUAGGAAUCAGACGAUGUUAAUUUUUUAAUGACUCGUUUGGCACCCUACG